rnacentral:rRNA from 1 species
UACGAAGGGGGCUAGCGUUGCUCGGAAUUACUGGGCGUAAAGGGUGCGUAGGCGGGUCUUUAAGUCAGAGGUGAAAUCCUGGAGCUCAACUCCAGAACUGCCUUUGAUACUGAGGAUCUUGAGUUCGGGAGAGGUGAGUGGAACUGCGAGUGUAGAGGUGAAAUUCGUAGAUAUUCGCAAGAACACCAGUGGCGAAGGCGGCUUACUGGUCCGGUUCUGACGCUGAGGCGCGAAAGCGUGGGGAGCAAACAGG